AAACGACGGUACGCAAUAAUACCUGCAGGUACCCGAUAACAACGUACGUCGCGUGUAAACAUUUUGUUUCGUUUUUGUUCCAGAGACGGAACUGUGCGAUUCGGACGGACGGCGUGAAAAUCGCCAAGUCGGCGCAGAAUACAUCGGACGCAUCGGACACCGCACCACCCGGAUACAUCGGAUACACCGGAUACAUCGGAUACACCGAGUUCGCGCGACGAAACGGAAAAAGCCUCACACAACGCGAGUGCAACGGGAAAGCGCAUUCUG